rnacentral:RNase_P_RNA from 1 species
AAUAGAAGGUAACCGAGCUUAUAUUAAUAUAUAGGUUAGGAAAGUCCAUGCUAGCACUACCUGUGAUGGUAGUAGUGUUUGUGCCUAGGGAAACAAUAACCUAGGGUAUCUUAGUGAUAACGGCGGAGCAAUCCAUAAAGUGCCACAGAGACGAGUAAAGUGAAACGGGUAAACCCCACAAGCUAGAAACCCAAAUUAUGGUAGGGGCACACUUUAAAAAGAAUUAAGAAUUUAUUAAAGUGCUACGUAAGUAGAGAUAAAUGGUUACACACGAAAGUGAACAGAACAUGGCUUAUGCAU